UACAGAGGUCCCAAGCGUUGUUCGGAUUCAUUGGGCGUAAAGGGUGCGUAGGCGGCGCGGUAAGUCGGGUGUGAAAUCUCGGAGCUUAACUCCGAAACUGCAUUCGAUACUGCCGUGCUUGAGGACUGGAGAGGAGACUGGAAUUUACGGUGUAGCGGUGAAAUGCGUAGAUAUCGGAGAAGACAUACAGUGGCGAAAGGCGG
rnacentral:rRNA from 1 species